UGAAUGACUUUUGAUCCCACACCGCACCGCUAGCCGGCCAGCGGUGUCACUCCGCCACUCCGGCCCCACUCGACAGAGACAUCACCGGCAGCAGGUUAAUAAUGGCGCUUCGCGCGGCGGAGCUCCGGCGGCUCCUCCUCCUCCGCGGCGGGGCGGUCCUCCCGCUCCCCCUCGCGUCGCGCUGCCGGCCGGCGAGCACGGCCGCCCGUGACGACGAGGGAGCAGGGAGCAACGCCUACGACGUGCUCGGGGUGGGAGAGACGAGCUCCUCCGCGGAGAUCAAGGCCUCCUUCCACCGCCUCGCGAAGGAGACCCACCCCGACGUCGCUGCCGCCGCCGGUUCCCGCCGCUUCCUUCAGAUCCUCGCGGCCUACGAGAUCCUAUCGGAUUCGCAGCGAAGAGCUCAUUAUGACAGCUUCCUGCGCUCACAGAGGCUAGUCAUACAGAAGCAUCCUAGGCCAUCGCAAUAUGUGUAUCCUGUUUAUCCAGACAGUUCAGGCAUUGUGAUGCCUAGAGAAAGUAAUGUUGUCGAGUGGCUGAAAUGGUACAGGCUUACUGUUAAUGACAUUGUUACAAAUAAGAGGAUUGCGACGGGUUCAGGUUAUUUCGAUAGACUUGAGAGUGAACUGUACACUGCGGUCCAUGCUGCAUACUAUGGCCCUGAGGUUGAGUCCAUGGAUCUCCUUCCUGAUUGUUUUGAAGCCGAGGAGAGGUCUGUGUAUGAGAUCUCUGAGCUACUGCACCUUGUAUCAGGCCGUGAUCUGCUUGGUAUUGUCAGUCUAGUUGAUAGCGUCCCAGAGCUUUCUGAAGCUUGUCCUGAGAAGCUGACACAUUCUGGUUUUGGAACCUGCGGGGUUAGUCCAAAUGUUGCAGUAAACAGAGAGAAAUGCUCAAUACCUAGACCUGCAGAUAUUCACAAGCAAGAGAAUGAGGAUAGUGACAGUAUCCCAUCAGAUGCCUACAAGGACAUUGAAUUGAAGAUAUGUGGGAGAGUAGUGGCCACUGCAAAUAGGAGGCUCAAGUGCAAUUGCAUUGUCAAUUCAGAUAUGGAAGAUCACAUACAUGUAUUUCUUGCUCCGAAUGAAGCGGCUGCAUCUCAAGAGCAUCUCCUCCUGGGAACAAUCACUGGGUUGGACACCAGUGGAGAGGAAGGAUCUUGCUGUGUCUAUGAUAGCCAUGGAAUAAAGACCCAUGUAAUUGUUAAGCACAGGACACUGAUGGUUAAACACAUGCACUGGUAUCAAUUUGGAGAUGAAGUUUCACCCUGUGAGUGUCGAUGUAGCAGGGCUCGCUUGCCACCCAGCAGGUUUUGGCUUUUUGAGCCACGGUGUUACAUGCAUGACACUGGUGGUUGGUACAUCGAGACAUUUGGGAGAGACAAGAAAGGGAGGACAAUUCCAUCACCGAGACAGUGGCAUGGUGUCAAUGAGCAUUCUGAAAAGCUACAGUUGCAAGCUUGUAAAUGUGAUCAGGCUCUCUUUUUUAGAAAAGACAUCAAAAGAGGAUCUUGUAUCUGAUAGUUAUCAAAAGACGAUUGUAUGUUGCCCGUCCGAGUUUGAAAAAUUCAGUGAUCCAGCAGCAGCUGUGGAUUCCCUUCGCAGAAUCGGCUUUCAGGGACCAAUGCUGAAUCUGAAACAAACAGGGUCUGAGCGACAAGUACACAAACUGUUAGUACACAAACUGUUCAAUAAUCAAUAUGAACGAAGAACAACGAAGCCCUUACAAGCUGUGUCACUUUUGCUACUACAGUACUCCCUCUGAUCCAUAUUAGUCGCACUGAAAUAUGUCUAGAACUCUAGAUACAUCUGUUUGUGUGACAAGUAAUAUGGAUUGGAGGGAGUAAGUUAUAUUGGCAAGCUCUGAUGUGACAGACUUGUUCCAUGUGAAAAAUGUACUCUUAUAUGUUAAAUGUUAAUUGAAAUUUCAGUUUUGUCCCAA